UAAAUCAAAAGAACAGAAAAGAGGAUGAAGUAGUAAAUUUGCUGCAACUUCUGGAAGGAAGAACUACAAAAGAAAGUGCAAGGUUCUUCUAUGAGAUACUGGUGCUGAAAAGUAAGGGAUGCGUACACGUGAAACAGGAAAAUGCCUAUGAUGACAUUCUCAUCUGGAAAGCCUCUCAAUGGGGACAAGUUUGUGGAGCAAAUUGUGCGGGGACCAUGCAUUUUUUACAGGAAUCUUGAACG
rnacentral:misc_RNA from 1 species